rnacentral:rRNA from 1 species
UACGUAGGGGGCGAGCGUUGUCCGGAAUGACUGGGCGUAAAGGGCGCGUAGGCGGCCGAAUAAGUUUGGAGUGAAAGUCCUGCUUUCAAGGUGGGAAUUGCUUUGAAAACUGUUUGGCUUGAGUGCAGAAGAGGAAAGCGGAAUUCCCAGUGUAGCGGUGAAAUGCGUAGAGAUUGGGAGGAACACCAGUGGCGAAGGCGGCUUUCUGGGCUGUAACUGACGCUGAGGCGCGAAAGCGUGGGGAGCGAACAGG